rnacentral:rRNA from 1 species
CAUGCAAGUCGAACGCAAACCUUCCAAAGGGUUUUAGUGGCGAACGGGUGAGUAACACGUAAGCAACCUACCCUAAAGACGAGGAUAACCAUUGGAAACAGUGGCUAAGACUGGAUAGGAAGAUAAAAGGCAUCUUUUAUCUUUUAAAAGACCUCCUAGUAAUAGGUAUGCUUUAGGAGGGGCUUGCGCCAUAUUAGUUAGUUGGUAGGGUAAUGGCCUACCAAGACCAUGAUGUGUAGCUGGACUGAGAGGUUGAACAGCCACAUUGGGACUGAGACACGGCCCAAACUCCUACGGGAGGCAGCAGUAGGGAAUUUUCGGCAAUGGGGGAAACUCUGACCGAGCAACGCCGCGUGAAUGACGAAGUACCUCGGUAUGUAAAGUUCUUUUAUCAAGGAAGAAAAGCAAAUGGCGAACCAUUUGUUUGCCGGUACUUGAUGAAUAAGCCCCGGCUAAUUAUGUGCCAGCAGCCGCGGUAAGACAUAAGGGGCAAGUGUUAUCCGGAAUUAUUGGGCGUAAAGGGUGCGUAGGCGGUCUAGUAAGUCAGUGGUGUAAUGGCAACGCUUAACGUUGUCCGGCUAUUGAAACUGCUAAACUUGAGUUAGAUAGAGGCGAGUGGAAUUCCAUGUGUAGCGGUAAAAUGCGUAAAUAUAUGGAGGAACACCAGAGGCGUAGGCGGCUCGAUGGGUCUUAACUGACGCUGAGGCACGAAAGCGUGGGGAGCAAACAGGAUUAGAUACCCUGGUAGUCCACGCCGUAAACGAUGAGUACUAAGUGUCAGGGUUAAACCGGUACUGAAGUUAACACAUUAAGUACUCCGCCUGAGUAGUACGUACGCAAGUAUGAAACUUAAAGGAAUUGACGGGACUCCGCACAAGCGGUGGAUCAUGUUGUUUAAUUCGAAGAUACCCGAAAAACCUUACCAGGUCUUGACAUGUUUUUGCAAAAUGAUAGUAAUAUCGUGGAGGUUACCAGAAACACAGGUGGUGCAUGGUUGUCGUCAGCUCGUGUCGUGAGAUGUUAGGUUAAGUCCUAAAACGAGCGAAACCCUUAUCGUUAGUUGCCAGCACGUUAUGGUGGGGACCUUAACGAGACUGCCAAUGAUAAAUUGGAGGAAGGUGAGGAUCACGUCAAAUCAGCAUGCCCCUUAUGACCUGGGCUACAAACGUGAUACAAUGGCUGUUACAAAGGGUAGCUGAAACGCAAGUUCUUGGCCAAUCCCCAAAAACAGUCCCAGUCCGGAUUGAAGUCUGCAACUCGACUUCAUGAAGUUGGAAUCGCUAGUAAUCGCGGAUCAGCAUGUCGCGGUGAAUACGUUCUCGGGGUUUGUACACACCGCCCGUCAAACCACGAAAGUUGGCAAUACCCCAAAACGGUAGCCUAACUCGUUUAUUCGAGAGGGCGCCGUCUAAGGUAGGGUCGAUGAUUGGGGUUAAG